GAAUUCUCAGGGUGCUACGCGGCGAUAAGAUUGUGCUGGAGGAGAAGAAGGAGAGCAGAGAACAUUAUUAUCUGGCAAGGAACUCAGAGUGAGGUGGAGCUUCGGGAGUCAGGUGGAGCCCAAAGCGAGAUGGAGCUCCAAGUGGAGGGGAUCAAACAUGAGACAGGAGACUCGAAAGGAUGAGAGACGACAUCACAAGGUAAGAUUCCUAUUGCCGCAAGAUGAUGCCCCGAGUAGGUCUC
rnacentral:lncRNA from 1 species